rnacentral:rRNA from 1 species
UACGUAGGGGGCUAGCGUUGUCCGGAAUCAUUGGGCGUAAAGAGCGUGUAGGCGGCCCGGUAAGUCCGCUGUGAAAGUCAAAGGCUCAACCUUUGAAUGUCAGCGGAUACUGCCGGGCUAGAGUCCGGAAGAGGCGAGUGGAACUCCCGGUGUAGCGGUGAAAUGCGCAGAUAUCGGGAGGAACACCAAUGGCGAAGGCAGCUCGCUGGGACGUUACUGACGCUGAGACGCGAAAGCGUGGGGAGCAAACAGG